GAGGCUGCGGGGGGAGGGGGAUAUCCUUGCCUGGAUUUCGAGCACCGCCCGUGGCAAACGGAGUGAGGCACCGGGCGGAGCAGCACGGCGGGUUGCGGGGUCGCCGUUGUGGGGCUGACGGUGGCCGGGGGCCGGUCUCGCCGUGCCAGGGCCCGGGCGGGGCCGGGUUGGGCCGGGCCGGACGGGCACCGGGUGCCUCCAGUGGGGGCCAGCGGGGGCCGCGCCGCAGAGGGGGCCGCCAUCCCCGCUCCGCUCUCCUCGGCGGGCGGCUCAGCGGGGGCGGCGGCGACAAGCGCUUCGCGGCGGCCCCAGCAGAAGAGAGGAGGGGAGCGACGCGUCCGAAAAAACAGGUGGAUCCCUACUCGGCCUCGGCUCAUGCUUGUCUUGGAAGCUGUGGAGCGCAGGGAGAAGCUGGUCGUUUAAUCUACAAGAAGGACAGAUACUCGAAAAGCUACGAAAAGAGAAUAUAUUUAGUAUUAUUUUCUCUACAGCAGGGUGAGACGGAUCAUAUCACCACGGACAGAGUAUUGGAAAAGAACAUAGCUGGGAAAAUCACCUUUAACAGAGCAAAAAUAUUUCUCCUCCGUCCCAACAUCCCAAGCAGAAAUGUAUGUAUGUGUACCGGCUAGUUUUGAUGCUAAAUGUCUCGGGUGGUGGGACCUCUUGCACCCCUCCGCCCCUUCCAAAGAAGAAUAAGAAUGAAAGUGACUUGUGGAGCUUCUUCAGCUGCAUCCUUGAGCUGGGGCAGCCGGGCAGGGCAAAGCUGGAGGGAGGAGCGAAAUGCACCCAUCUCUCCGAGCACCGGUGGCAAUGAGCAGUCCCGCCGGUCGAUCACGGGAAUAACCCCGUUGUGGGUCCUUGGAGUGGGCAGGGCAGCGCGGAGCAUCUGCGUGCGUGUGUGUGUUUGUGUGUGUCUGCGUGGCUGCGUACCCACGAGUACCAGCGGGACCGCGGCUCUGCGGCGUCCCACGCACGAUCCUUACCCUCCGUGUUCCCUGUCCAUCCUCCCCGCCGCUCUCUAAUGUCCCUUUCCCGGCGAAGGCGACUUGCUCCUGCAGACAGUUUGCCCUUCAUGUGAGUAGUCAGUGAACCCACAAGGAGCCGUUUUCAUUACUCCCACCAGUGUCACACCUUCACGAGCUGAUGGAGACUUUUGUUCAACCCGGAAUAACUAGCACUCACAUAGGGUAAUACAAACGCCCGAUUCACGGGGCAGCUGGAAUAAGGACCAGGAUGUGGGCUGUGCUCUACUCUCGAAUUUGUGCUGAAGACACAGUUCUGCAAUUAUUAUAUUAUGUUAUGUUAUUUUCAGAGCAGAGCGCAGGGGCUACUUCAGAUGACUAAAUUCGUCUUCUGCAGAGAUCGCCCAAAAAAAACUCUCUUUCCCAACUCAUGUUUAAAGGCAGAGACUGACACAUCUAGAAGGGCAAACUGAAGAAGGGAAAUCGUAGUAGCAGGAAGGGUCACUUAUAGGAGUGAGAUACAUGCAUAUUCUCGCACUCAGGUGUACUAGCCAAUAUGCUUAUACACUCACAGCUGUGUUUGUAGAUGACGGGGAGUGUGCGUGUUUGAAAAGAUUUUUAAUGAAGAAGCGUUUCCAGGGCAGUGCUCCAGUUUCAACUCUACAAGCAAGACUUUCCGCCCAGAAGUCACUCCGCAUCCCUUUCCUUUCCCUCGGCUGUCAGAGCAAAGAACCGCCCCGGCGAGACGGAGAAAAACCUGCAUCUAUAGGCUCGUCUUAGUCUGUAAUCUUGCGUGUUACGCGGCGGCGGGCGGGACGCGGGACCGCGCAGUUGCCGGCAGUUCCGCUGCUGCGCAGGGCCCGGCCGCCCUGCUCUCCGCGGCUCCCCGCGCAAGGCUCGGCUGCCAUGCCCCGCUCUCCGCGACUCCCCGCUCAGGGCAGGUGAUGCGGGGAACGCGGCGCGCUCCCGGCGGGUUCCCAGCCCCGCAGCCGUGGGGACCGCGGCCACCAAAAUGUGUACCCUGCACACAUCGGCACUAUCUCUUUUUGAUAAAGUGGAUAUCUGAUUAAUGCCGACCCACGCCCCCCCAAGUCCUACUCCCCCUCCCCUUUUCUCCUCCCCUCCCGCCCCAUCCUCCCAACGUUCUUCGCUGCUUUCAAUAAAAGGCAGGAUCUAAGCUUUCUCCCCUUCAAAUCAAA